rnacentral:rRNA from 1 species
UGGGGAAUAUUGGACAAUGGGCGCAAGCCUGAUCCAGCAAUGCCGCGUGAGUGAUGAAGGCCUUAGGGUUGUAAAGCUCUUUCGCCCGCGACGAUGAUGACGGUAGCGGGAGAAGAAGCCCCGGCUAACUUCGUGCCAGCAGCCGCGGUAAUACGAAGGGGGCGAGCGUUGUUCGGAUUUACUGGGCGUAAAGGGCGCGUAGGCGGCGCAAGAAGUCAGGCGUGAAAGCCCCGGGCUCAACCUGGGAAUUGCGCUUGGGACUCUUGGGCUCGAGUUCGGGAGAGGAGCGUGGAAUUCCCAGUGUAGAGGUGAAAUUCGUAGAUAUUGGGAAGAACACCGGUGGCGAAGGCGGCGCUCUGGACCGAGACUGACGCUGAGGCGCGAAAGCGUGGGGAGCAAACAG